GUCUUCGUAGCUCAGUUGGUCGAGAGCGUCCGACUGUUACCUGACACAGUCGCCAUCGGGAGGUCGACAGUUCGAACCUGUCCGAGGACG